rnacentral:rRNA from 1 species
GAUGAACGCUGGCGGCAUGCCUAAUACAUGCAAGUCGAACGGGGUGCUUGCACCCAGUGGCGAACGGGUGAGUAACACGUACCUAAUCUACCGUUUAGUGGGGGAUAACAGUUGGAAACGACUGCUAAUACCGCAUACGACUACCGAAGGCAUCUUUGGUAGUUAAAAGGCCCUGUUGGGUCGCUAAUUGAUGGGGGUGCGGCGUAUUAGCUAGUUGGUGAGGUAAUGGCUCACCAAGGCGAUGAUACGUAGCCGACCUGAGAGGGUGAUCGGCCACAUCGGGACUGAGACACGGCCCGAACUCCUACGGGAGGCAGCAGUAGGGAAUUUUUCACAAUGGGCGAAAGCCUGAUGGAGCAAUGCCGCGUGAUCGAUGAAGGUCUUCGGACUGUAAAGAUCUGUUGUUAGGGAAGAAACGUCAGAAGAAGAGAAUGCUUUUGAUUUGCCGGUACCUAACCAGAAAGCCACGGCUAACUAUGUGCCAGCAGCCGCGGUAAUACAUAGGUGGCAAGCGUUAUCCGGAAUUAUUGGGCGUAAAGCGUGCGUAGACGGUUUGACAAGUUUGAGGUGAAAGCCCAAAGCUUAACUUUGGUGUGCCUUGAAAACUGUUAGACUAGAGUUUGGGAGAGGUUGAUGGAAUUCCGUAUGUAGCGGUGGAAUGCGUAGAUAUACGGAGGAACACCAGUGGCGAAGGCGGUCAACUGGCCCAUCACUGACGUUUAGGCACGAAAGCGUGGGGAGCAAAUAGGAUUAGAUACCCUAGUAGUCCACGCCGUAAACGAUGAGUACUAAGUGUCGGCAUUAGUCGGUGCUGCAGCUAACGCAUUAAGUACUCCGCCUGAGUAGUAUGCUCGCAAGAGUGAAACUCAAAGGAAUUGACGGGGACCCGCACAAGCGGUGGAGCAUGUGGUUUAAUUCGAAGCAACGCGAAGAACCUUACCAAGGCUUGACAUCCAGUGCAAAGCUACAGAAAUGUAGUGGAGGUUAACAUUGAGACAGGUGGUGCAUGGUUGUCGUCAGCUCGUGCCGUGAGGUGUUAGGUUAAGUCCUGCAACGAGCGCAACCCUUGUCGUUAGUUACUCCGCGUAAGCGAGAUACUCUAACGAGACUGCUAGUGUAAGCUAGAGGAAGGUGGGGAUGACGUCAAAUCAUCAUGCCCCUUAUGUCUUGGGCUACACACGUGCUACAAUGGCCGAUACAAACAGUUGCGAUCCUGUGAAGGUAAGCUAAUCUGAAAAAGUCGGUCUCAGUUCGGAUUGAAGUCUGCAACUCGACUUCAUGAAGCCGGAAUCGCUAGUAAUCGCGAAUCAGCAAUGUCGCGGUGAAUACGUUCUCGGGUCUUGUACACACCGCCCGUCACACCAUGAGAGUUGGUAAUACCAGAAGUCGGUAUCUUAACCGUAAGGAGAGAGCCGCCCAAGGUAGGAUCGAUGAUUGGGGUG